UGAGGAAUAUUGGGCAAUGCCCGCAAGGGUGACCCAGCAACGCCGCGUGGAGGAUGAAUGUCGUAAGAUUGUAAACUCCUGUUAGAGGGGAAGAAUAGUACCGGUUGGACCGGUAUAUGACUGUACCCUCAGAGAAAGCCCCGGCUAACUACGUGCCAGCAGCCGCGGUAAUACGUAGGGGGCAAGCGUUGUCCGGAUUUACUGGGUGUAAAGGGCGCGCAGGCGGGAUAAAAAGUCAGUGGUGAAAUCCUACAGCUUAACUGUAGAACUGCCUUUGAUACUUUUAUUCUUGAGUUCGGGAGAGAGAGACGGAAUUCCAGGUGUAGUGGUGAAAUACGUAGAUAUCUGGAAGAACACCAGUUGCGAAGGCGGUCUCUUGGUCCGACACUGACGCCGAGGCGCGAAAGCGUGGGGAGCAAACA
rnacentral:rRNA from 1 species